GGAGAGGUGGCUGAGUGGCCGAUAGCGCCGGUUUGCUAAACCGGUAUACGGGUAAAACCGUAUCACGGGUUCGAAUCCCGUCCUCUCCGCUA
rnacentral:tRNA from 1 species